rnacentral:rRNA from 1 species
AAUCAACGCUGGCGGCGUGCCUCAGACAUGCAAGUCGAACGAUUAAAGCUCUCUUCGGAGAGUGUAUAGAGUGGCGCACGGGUGAGUAACACGUAAGUAAUCUACCUUUGAGUGGGAUAACAGUCGGAACGACUGCUAAUACGCAUAAUGCAGCGGCAUCGCAAGAUGACAGUUGUUAAGGAAGCAAUACCGCUUAAAGAGGAGCUUGCGGCAGAUUAGCUUGUUGGUAAGGUAACGGCUUACCAAGGCUACGAUCUGUAUCCGGUCUAAGAGGACGGUCGGACACACUGACACUGAAUAACGGG